GCUGGCGGCGUGCCUAUACAUGCAAGUCGAGCGGAGCGGAUGGAGUGCUUGCACUCCUGAUGCUUAGCGGCGGACGGGUGAGUAAUACGUAGGUAACCUGCCCUUAAGACCGGGAUAACUCACGGAAACGUGGGCUAAUACCGGAUAGGCGAUUUCCUCGCAUGAGGGAAUCGGGAAAGGCGGAGCAAUCUGCCACUUAUGGAUGGACCUACGGCGCAUUAGCUAGUUGGUGGGGUAACGGCUCACCAAGGCGACGAUGCGUAGCCGACCUGAGAGGGUGAUCGGCCACACUGGGACUGAGACACGGCCCAGACUCCUACGGGAGGCAGCAGUAGGGAAUCUUCCGCAAUGGACGCAAGUCUGACGGAGCAACGCCGCGUGAGUGAUGAAGGUUUUCGGAUCGUAAAGCUCUGUUGCCAGGGAAGAACGCUAUGGAGAGUAACUGUUCCAUAGGUGACGGUACCUGAGAAGAAAGCCCCGGCUAACUACGUGCCAGCAGCCGCGGUAAUACGUAGGGGGCAAGCGUUGUCCGGAAUUAUUGGGCGUAAAGCGCGCGCAGGCGGUCAUGUAAGUCUGGUGUUUAAACCCGGGGCUCAACUCCGGGUCGCAUCGGAAACUGUGUGACUUGAGUGCAGAAGAGGAAAGUGGAAUUCCACGUGUAGCGGUGAAAUGCGUAGAGAUGUGGGAGGAACACCAGUGGCGAAGGCGACUUUCUGGGCUGUAACUGACGCUGAGGCGCGAAAGCGUGGGGGAGCAAACAGGAUUAGAUACCCUGGUAGUCC
rnacentral:rRNA from 1 species